rnacentral:sRNA from 1 species
GUGGGAACCGGGGAACCACCCCUUCUCGUCGUAAAGGCGGGAAGGACGGGGUGAAUCGGACGCUCUCGACCGGGGGCGCCCGUAGGAGACCUUCCUGCUCCGAACCCGUCAGCUAACCCGGUAGGCGAGAAGGAAGGAA